GGAUGUGAGGGCGAUCUGGCUGCGACAUCUGUCACCCCAUUGAUCGCCAGGGUUGAUUCGGCUGAUCUGGCUGGCUAGGCGGGUGUCCCCUUCCUCCCUCACCGCUCCAUGUGCGUCCCUCCCGAAGCUGCGCGUUCGGUCGAAGAGGACGACCAUCCCCGAUAGAGGAGGACCGUUCUUCGGUCAAGGGUAUACGAGUAGCUGCGCUCUCCUGCUAGAACCUCCAAACAAGCUCUCAAGGUAAAGUUACAGAGAUUCUGUGCACUCCUCUUCCUUAUCUGUGAAAUGGGAGUGACAGUUGAUCUUUCUCCUAGGUUU
rnacentral:snRNA from 1 species